rnacentral:rRNA from 1 species
UAGGGAAUCUUCGGCAAUGGGGGGAACCCUGACCGAGCAACGCCGCGUGAGUGAAGAAGGUUUUCGGAUCGUAAAGCUCUGUUGUUAAGGAAGAACGAGUGUGAGAAUGGAAAGUUCAUGCUGUGACGGUACUUAACCAGAAAGGGACGGCUAACUACGUGCCAGCAGCCGCGGUAAUACGUAGGUCCCGAGCGUUGUCCGGAUUUAUUGGGCGUAAAGCGAGCGCAGGCGGUAAGAAAAGUCUGAAGUGAAAGGCAGUGGCUCAACCAUUGUAGGCUUUGGAAACUGUUUAACUUGAGUGCAGAAGGGGAGAGUGGAAUUCCAUGUGUAGCGGUGAAAUGCGUAGAUAUAUGGAGGAACACCGGUGGCGAAAGCGGCUCUCUGGUCUGUAACUGACGCUGAGGCUCGAAAGCGUGGGGAGCGAACAGG